AAUUCUCAACCCUUUCAGCUUUUGCGAGUUGGAUUGGCUUGGAUGUGGGGGUUUGCGGGCUUCUCAGAAGUCGGCUCCUCUUAAAUGCAUUAGCGGAACCUUUGUGGACCAGCUUUGGUGUGAUAAUUAUCUACGCCAUGGUUGUGAAGCAGCUUUACAUGGGGUUCAGCUUCUAACCGUCCAUUGACUUGGACAACUUAUGACA
rnacentral:misc_RNA from 1 species